rnacentral:rRNA from 1 species
GAGUUUGAUCCUGGCUCAGGACGAACGCUGGCGGCGUGCCUAACACAUGCAAGUCGAACGGAGAAAUCAGUAAUGGUUUCUUAGUGGCGAACGGGUGAGUAACGCGUAGACAACCUGCCUCGAAGAUGGGGACAACACUGCGAAAGUGGUGCUAAUACCGAAUGAAGUAAUUUGUGCGCAUGCACGAAUUACCAAAGGUGGCCUCUAUUUAUAAGCUACCACUUCGAGAGGGGUCUGCGUCUGAUUAGCUAGUUGGUGGGGUAAUGGCUCACCAAGGCGACGAUCAGUAGCCGGUCUGAGAGGAUGAACGGCCACACUGGGACUGAGACAC